rnacentral:tRNA from 1 species
CUGCCCGUAGCACAGUCGGAUAGAGCAUCAGCCUUCUAAGCUGAGGGUCACAGGUUCGAUUCCUGUCGGGCAGGCCA